AACGCGAAGAACCUUACCAAGGCUUGACAUACACCGGAAACGGCCGGAGACGGUCGCCCCCUUGUGGUCGGUGUACAGGUGGUGCAUGGCUGUCGUCAGCUCGUGUCGUGAGAUGUUGUGUUAAGUCCCGCAACGAGCGCAACCCUUGUUCUGUGUUGCCAGCAUGCCCUUCGGGGUGGUGGGGACUCACAGGAGACUGCCGGGGUCAACUCGGAGGAAGGUGGGGACGACGUCAAGUCAUCAUGCCCCUUAUGUCUUGGGCUGCACACGUGCUACAAUGGCAGGUACAAUGAGCUGCGAUGCCGUGAGGUGGAGCGAAUCCCAAAAAGCUGGUCCCAGUUCGGAUUGAGGUCUGCAACUCGACCUCAUGAAGUCGGAGUCGCUAGUAAUCGCAGAUCAGCAACGCUGCGGUGAAUACGUUCCCGGGCCUUGUACACACCG
rnacentral:rRNA from 1 species